UUUUCAAAGUUUUUUAUCAGAUUCCUGUUCUGAUAAAAGGUGUUGAGGGAUGGCUCCCAUCAACGUAACGACUCGCAGUGAAUUGACACCGAGGCGAUACGUUUUUUU
rfam:Vagococcus fluvialis bH819 genome assembly, contig: Scaffold2